rnacentral:rRNA from 1 species
AACGAACGCUGGCGGCAUGCCUAACACAUGCAAGUCGAACGAGAUCUUCGGGUCUAGUGGCGCACGGGUGCGUAACGCGUGGGAAUCUGCCCUUUGGUUCGGAAUAACAGUUGGAAACGACUGCUAAUACCGGAUGAUGACGGAAGUCCAAAGAUUUAUCGCCAGAGGAUGAGCCCGCGUAGGAUUAGCUAGUUGGUGUGGUAAAGACGCACCAAGGCGACGAUCCUUAGCUGGUCUGAGAGGAUGAUCAGCCACACUGGGACUGAGACACGGCCCAGACUCCUACGGGAGGCAGCAGUGGGGAAUAUUGGACAAUGGGCGAAAGCCUGAUCCAGCAAUGCCGCGUGAGUGAUGAAGGCCUUAGGGUUGUAAAGCUCUUUUACCCGGGAUGAUAAUGACAGUACCGGGAGAAUAAGCUCCGGCUAACUCCGUGCCAGCCGCCGCAGUAA